rnacentral:rRNA from 1 species
UACGUAGGGCGCAAGCGUUAUCCGGAAUUACUGGGCGUAAAGCGUGCGCAGGCGGUUUUGUAAGUCUGUCGUGAAAGCCCCGGGCUCAACCUGGGAAUUGCGAUGGAGACUGCAAGGCUUGAAUCUGGCAGAGGGGGGUAGAAUUCCACGUGUAGCAGUGAAAUGCGUAGAGAUGUGGAGGAACACCGAUGGCGAAGGCAGCCCCCUGGGUCAAGAUUGACGCUCAUGCACGAAAGCGUGGGGAGCGAACAGG